rnacentral:rRNA from 1 species
GACGAACGCUGGCGGCGUGCCUAAUACAUGCAAGUUGAGCGCUGAAGGUUGGUACUUGUACCGACUGGAUGAGCAGCGAACGGGUGAGUAACGCGUGGGGAAUCUGCCUUUGAGCGGGGGACAACAUUUGGAAACGAAUGCUAAUACCGCAUAAAAACUUUAAACACAAGUUUUAAGUUUGAAAGAUGCAGUUGCAUCACUCAAAGAUGAUCCCGCGUUGUAUUAGCUAGUUAGUGAGGUAAAGGCUCACCAAGGCGAUGAUACAUAGCCGACCUGAGAGGGUGAUCGGCCACAUUGGGACUGGGACACGGCCCAAACUCCUACGGGAGGCAGCAGUAGGGAAUCUUCGGCAAUGGACGAAAGUCUGACCGAGCAACGCCGCGUGAGUGAAGAAGGUUUUCGGAUCGUAAAACUCUGUUGGUAGAGAAGAACGUUGGUGAGAGUGGAAAGCUCAUCAAGUGACGGUAACUACCCAGAAAGGGACGGCUAACUACGUG